UACGUAUGGGGCAAGCGUUAUCCGGAAUUAUUGGGCGUAAAGAGCGCGCAGGUGGUUGAUUAAGUCUGAUGUGAAAGCCCACGGCUUAACCGUGGAGGGUCAUUGGAAACUGGUCGACUUGAGUGCAGAAGAGGGAAGUGGAAUUCCAUGUGUAGCGGUGAAAUGCGUAGAGAUAUGGAGGAACACCAGUGGCGAAGGCGGCUUCCUGGUCUGUAACUGACACUGAGGCGCGAAAGCGUGGGGAGCAAACAGGAUUAGAUA
rnacentral:rRNA from 1 species